AAAAAAAGAAAGGAAUGAGAAAGAAGGAAAGGAGGAGAAAGAAGAAUAGGAAAAAAGAUGUUUGAAGGUCACUGGUCAAACUGGAGAGAGAAAUUCAGACGAAGAGAUUUGUAAUCCGAAGACAUCAAAGGAAUAAUAUAAAGCCCAACUCACAGAUGCGGUCAUGGGCUUGUCGUAUCAUUACACCUCCAAUUUCAAUGAAGAAAUAGACUGGAAGGAAAAUGAAAGAAUCAAGAUUCAAUGAUGGCAGAAGAAGCCCACCAGAAGGCCAAGCAACAGCUUUGGAAAAAAGAAAAACCAGAAGAUCAAGAAAGAUCUCCUUCCUCCUGCAGUUCCCAUAUCCUUCUCCUCUAUGUCUGCCUUACCACCAGAAACUGUUAUAGAAAGUUUUCUAGCUUUCCAGAGGAGGUAUUGAAACUACCUAGUUGAUCCAUUUGUGCAAUAGGGGAAUUGGGUCUUCUGUCUGCUUGGUUCCCUUUCUUUAAAUCAACAUUUCAAUAAAGUACACAAGUUGCUUUACA